AUUGAACGCUGGCGGCAGGCCUAACACAUGCAAGUCGAACGCGUGGCGGACGGGUGAGUAAUGUCUGAGAAACUGUCUGAUGGAGGGGGAUCUCUUCUGGAAACGGUAGCUAAUACCGCAUACUAUCAUAUGUGCCCAUAGUGGUUUGGCUUGUUGGGGGUGUAACGGCUAACCAAGGCGCCGACCUCUAGCUGGUCUGAGAGGAUGACCAGCCACAUUGGAACUGAGACACGGUCCAGACUCCUACGGGAGGCAGCAGUGGGGAUUAGUGCACAAUGGGCGCAAGCAGGAUGCAGCCAUGCCGCGUGUAUGAAGAAGGCCUUCGGGUUGUAAAGUACUUUCAGCGGGGAGGCGUUACCCGCAGAAGAAGCACCGACUAACUCCGUGCCAACAGCCGCGGUAAUAC
rnacentral:rRNA from 1 species